CCCUACGGGGCGCCGCAGGCAGGCUGAAACUGCUUCGGGCCGAGUGAUACGCUUCAGGCCCUCCCGAGUAGGGCGCGUUUUACGCACCAGCCUUGGCGCAAACAGUGCUUCGAUACGGAUGGUGCAUGGAAUGCACCCUACCCUGCUGUUGACGUAACGUCACCCCGGUGAAAACCGGGGUCCAGAAAGUCUUUAUUCUCCUGGAUUCCGGCUUAGAGACCGCCGGAGUGACGAAACAAGGUGUCGGCUUAGAGUGAGAGUUUCAUUUUUCAGACGGCCUCUUAAGCCCAAAACUGCUUGUUAGGGAAUGGCAAAACAGCGCUAACCGUUUUUCCUGGCAAAUUCUUUCAUGAAUUGGCGGGAGAGC
rnacentral:rRNA from 1 species